UACGUAGGCAGCGAGCGUUGUUCGGAGUUACUGGGCGUAAAGCGUGCGUAGGCGGUGUCUUAAGUUUGUUGUGAAAUCGCCCGGCUUAACUGGGCGGGGGCCUUCCAGACGGCGUGGCUUGAGCAGCGGAGGGGGACGUGGAAUUCCGGGUGGAGCGGUGAAAUGCGUAGAGAUCCGGAGGAACACCGACGGCGCAGGCAGCGUCCUGGCCGCUUGCUGACACUGAGGCACGAAAGCUGGGGGAGCAAACAGG
rnacentral:rRNA from 1 species